CCUACGGGUGGCAGCAGUAGGGAAUGUUGCGCAAUGGGGGAAACCCUGACGCAGCAACGCCGCGUGAUAGAUGAAGGCCUUCGGGGUGUAAAGAUCUGUCAGUGGGGACGAAACCUGACGGUACCGACAGAGGAAGCACCGGCUAACUCCGUGCCAGCAGCCGCGGUAAUACGGGGGGGGCAAGCGUUGUCCGGAAUCAUUGGGCGUAAAGAGUUCGUAGGUGGCACGUUAAGGCUGGUGUUAAAGGCGGCCGCUCCACUUCCGUAGGGCACUGGAUACUGGCGAGCUUGACUGCGGUAGAGGUAACGGGAAUUCCUGGUGUAGCGGUGACAUGCGUAGAUAUCAGGCG
rnacentral:rRNA from 1 species